rnacentral:tRNA from 3 species
UCCCUGGUAGCUCAAUCGGCAGAGCGGGUGACUGUUAAUCACUAGGUUGGCGGUUCAAGUCCGUCCCGGGGAGCCA